rnacentral:misc_RNA from 1 species
GAUGAAGAACGUAGCGAAAUGCGAUAAGUAAUGUGAAUUGCAGAAUUCAGUGAAUCAUCGAAUCUUUGAACGCACAUUGCGCCCCUUGGUAUUCCGAGGGGCAUGCCUGUUCGAGCGUCAUUAUAACCCCUCAAGCUCAGCUUGGUGUUGGGGCCUGCUGCACUGGCAGCCCUUAAAAUCAGUGGCGGCGCCGUCUGGCUCUAAGCGUAGUAAUUCUUCUCGCUAUGGAGUCCUGGUGGAUGCUUGCCAUCAACCCCCAAUUUUUCUAUGGUUGACCUCGGAUCAGGUAGGGAUACCCGCUGAACUUAAGCAUAUCAAUAAGUGGAGGA